rnacentral:lncRNA from 1 species
CGGACGAGUGUUGCUAAGUGCACGAUUCAGCAAAUGUUCCACUAUAUUGAGUUUCAGGCAUCGGCUGAAUUAUAUUAUGGUGAGAUUUGUGAUUAAGGUAUGUUAACUCAAAACGACAAGCAAGGGCAUUUAAAGCCCACAUUUCAAUGAAACCUGGCAGCCCAAAAACAGCUGCCUUAAGUCCACUCCUCUAGUAUUUCAAAGGAAGAAUAUCAACGGGUUUCUGAUAGCAUAUGUGCCAACUGCAGAAAUUCUAGAGCAGUGUGAGAGACUGUGGGUGAAAGGUCACACUGCCUUGUACAGAUGGCACGUUUAAUUAUUAAAGAGCAUUUUUCAUCAUUUAAUCAUCUCAGGCCUUGAAAUAAAAGGUCUUCUUGGGUAUCCUGAAGUUUAUUGCAACCUAAACUCCACUCUCUGACUUGUGUGAAGCCAGUAAGUAGCAUAUGUUAUUUCAUACCCUAACUUGAUUUACAUUCUCAUGGGAGUUGGAUUUGUUUUGCAGGCAGGCUCUAAAAGACAUCUCAUGGGGGAAAAAAGAUGAAGGUCAUGUCUUUGGCAGAGAAUUUUUAAAUUAAAUCUUUGUUUCAGUCUUAAAUCUGGCUCAAAUUCCACCGGAGAAUGGCAUCUUCUUCAAAAUUACUUACACUGUCAACAGAAGCAGCAAAGAAGCAAAACCGAGUAGGAAGGAUGUUCCACGAUGCCUCGGUUUCACAGUCAAACAAAGGACAGGAAGAAGAGCUCAGUGAAUAGAUUCCCAUCAAGUUUGCAAAGUCUUGGCCUUACGUGAUGCAGUAAUGAGACAGGGUGAUUUAGACAGCUGACAUCCACGAUGCUAGCCUGGUGCCUCCUUGGAGUUUGUUUUUACUCUGGUCUCUUUCAAGGCUCCUAGAUCUUUUUGGUAUUAUGUGGGGAGGUUCUGUCAGGCGAUGGCUAAAUUAACUCUUGAUGAAAAUGCAUAGUAGGAGAAUUGAGCACAAGCUGUGUUCUCAACGGCAGAUCUUUCUGAUCUUGAACAAGAAAGCCCUGGCUUCUUCUGGGCUAGCCUGCCUUUGCUCACUACACACAGUUCCAGAAGCUAGUGACAGUCAUGAUUUCUUCCUUGAGCCAAGCCAUCAACAUAUAUAUGAAGGAGAGGCCUCUUGGCACCAAUCAGUAAGUCCAGUGGGAUGUGGUGUCAUGUGACUACAAUACCAGCACUGGAGAGAUGGAGACAAAAGGAUCAGGAGUUCAACCUCAUGUAGCUUCAGAUGGGAGCAGAGGCAGUUGAACACAUGGUGCAGAUCCAGCUUAUGUUAUCGAUGCUCAAAAAGUGGACAUCUCUACUUCCAUCUGUUUAUGCAGAGAGCUGAAUAAAAGCCUUCAUCUGAAAAGCAUCUCUCCACCGGUAUGUGAAAUUAUAGUUUUUC